rnacentral:rRNA from 1 species
UACGUAGGGGGCUAGCGUUGUCCGGAAUCAUUGGGCGUAAAGAGCGUGUAGGCGGCCCGUUAAGUCCGCUGUGAAAGUCGGGGGCUCAACCCUCGAAUGCCGGUGGAUACUGUCGGGCUAGAGUGCGGAAGAGGCGAGUGGAAUUCCUGGUGUAGCGGUGAAAUGCGCAGAUAUCAGGAGGAACACCGAUUGCGAAGGCAGCUCGCUGGGACGUUACUGACGCUGAGACGCGAAAGCGUGGGGAGCAAACAGG